rnacentral:rRNA from 1 species
UGGGGAAUUUUGGACAAUGGGCGAAAGCCUGAUCCAGCAAUGCCGCGUGUGUGAAGAAGGCCUUCGGGUUGUAAAGCACUUUUGUCCGGAAAGAAAUCCUUGGCUCUAAUACAGUCGGGGGAUGACGGUACCGGAAGAAUAAGCACCGGCUAACUACGUGCCAGCAGCCGCGGUAAUACGUAGGGUGCAAGCGUUAAUCGGAAUUACUGGGCGUAAAGCGUGCGCAGGCGGUUUGCUAAGACCGAUGUGAAAUCCCCGGGCUCAACCUGGGAACUGCAUUGGUGACUGGCAGGCUAGAGUAUGGCAGAGGGGGGUAGAAUUCCACGUGUAGCAGUGAAAUGCGUAGAGAUGUGGAGGAAUACCGAUGGCGAAGGCAGCCCCCUGGGCCAAUACUGACGCUCAUGCAUGAAAGCGUGGGGAGCAAAACAGGAUUAGAUACCCUGGUAGUCCACGCCCUAAACGAUGUCAACUAGUUGUUGGGGGAUUCAUUUCCUUAGUAACGUAGCUAACGCGUGAAGUUGACCGCCUGGGGAGUACGGUCGCAAGAUUAAAACUCAAAUGAAUUGACGGGGUCAUAGCUGUUUCCU